rfam:Salmo salar isolate Sally breed double haploid chromosome ssa10, whole genome shotgun sequence.
GCUCAGUUGGUAGAGCAUGGUGUUUGCAAUGCCAGCAUGGUGUGUGCAACGCCAGGGUUGUGGGUUCGAUUCCCAC